rnacentral:misc_RNA from 1 species
GGCUCUGUCAACUAUGCCUGGACCACAGUUCCUACUUAUCCAAGUGGUGUUAUUGGUUUCAUGGUCUGCUCUACCGAGGGACCUGCGGUUGAUUUCAAGAAUCCAAUUAACCCAAUUGAUGUUGACGAUAGCCACACCAAAACUAGAGGACCCUUGAAGUUCUACAACUCUGAGAUUCACUCUGCAUCGUUCUGUUUGCCUUCUUUUGCAAAGAGGGUAAUUGAAUCCAAAGGAAAAUGAGUCCUUAGUGGAGCAGGAUUUAGCUGUUUUAGAACACUUCAUUUCCCACCCCCCCUAUACAAGAUUAGAACAUCUAGCGUUGGAACUUUUAUGUUUAAUUUGAUACUGUGACUAGGCAGUUGAAUCCAGAGAUGCCUUGCUGAUUUUGUUCUAGUUGUAAUAAUCAUGUUGAGCUCAGUCAUUGAAGAUUUUCUACGGAUUAAUUUCAC